CCUCCUUCCCCCCAGGCCCCUCCCCCCCAGUUGAGCUGCCCAACCCUGGCUGCAGCCUGUCCCAGAGAGCGAGUGACCUCCAGGACUGCCGGGACCAGGGACUGCUGUGUCUCCCCAGGGAGAUCUUCCGGGCCUUCCAGGGCAUGUGCUAUGCUGGAGAUCAUCACAUCCCCAGGGCUUUCCUGACACAAUGGUGCCAACCUUGGCAGCAGACUGAAAUCCCCCAGGGGACUCAAACAUACGGAUGCCUGAAUCACCCCCUUCCCCCUGGUCUCUGAUUUAAUUGGUCUGGGAGGGAAGUCUGGGCACUAGGAUUUGUAAGAGCUCCCCCCAAAUGAUUCUUAGAGGUAGGCAAGGCUGACCACCGCUCAAUUUGAAGGCAGCAUAACACCUGGUGCGAAAUAUCCCUUUGCUGGGAUGCCUGGAUGGCUCAGUGGGUGAAGUGUCUGCCUUUGUCUCAGGUCAUGAUCCCAGGGUCCUGGGAUCGAGUCUCGAAUCGGGCUUUCUACUCAGCGGGGAGCCUGCUUCUGCCUCUUUCUCUGCUUGUGCGUGCUGUCUCUGACAAAUUUUUUUUUUUUUUUAGAUUAUUUAUUUAUUUAUUUGACAGACAGAGAUCACAAGUAGGCAGAGAGCCAGGCAGAGAGAAGGGAGGAAGCAGGCUCCCUGCUGAGCAGAGAGCCUGAUUCGGGGCUCCAUCCCAGGAUCCCGGGACCAUGACCCGAGCCAAAGGCAGAGGCCUUAACCCACUGAGCCACUCAGGCGACCCCCUCUCUCUGACAAAUAAAUUUUUAAAAAACUUAUUUAAAAAAAAAAAAGUGUUCCUUUGUUCAAUCACUGAGUGCCUGAGUGAAUGACGGAGGAAAGAAAGGAAGGACUUAACUGUGUGAUCGUGGGCAUGUGACUUGCACGGCCUUCAUCUGCAAAAUGAGGUUCUGCCUGCCAGUGACUCUUUGGCAUGGUCAGUAUAUGAGCGGUAAAAUCUCAGUGAGUGAAAGGAUUUGGUUCUCAAAGUGUGGUCCCCGGACGGGCAACCCCUCCUCCACUCCAGACUUACUGAUUCAGAAACUCUGGAUAUGGGGCCCAGCUCCUGUGCUUUAGCCAGCCCUCCUGGUGAGUCUGAGAACCACUUGAAGGAAUUAGUCUUGGUGCACCGUGGUCAACAGGGAGACUUCCAGGUCCAGCCAGCCUAGCUCAGUCGUGGCUUGUUCCCAUGGUAAGCUACACAGCUGAAGCCUGUGGUGUGAUUUCUUCACUUCUACGAGGGGGGCAAUGAUAGUACUACCACCGAGGGUUCCUGCAGGCAUUAAAUGAAUUAGUGCUUGCUCUAGGAACAGUGUCUCACACAGAAGUUUUCAAUGAACUUACUGAAAAGGUUUUCCAUACUUUUUAACCAUUAUUAUCUAUCUGGGAUCAUUAACGGGGGAGAAAAGAAAAAUAUCACAGCAAAAUUUCCAGGUAACUGAAGACUAGUCCCAUGAAGGGACAAAAUAUUUUCUAUUUUGAGUAGUUUUCUAAAUUCUGUUACUAAUUUAUAAAUCAUAAAAAUAGACAUUUUAUAAUUCUAAGUAAAACACUAAGUAAAACCCCUCUCAAACAUCUCAAAUUCGGAGCUUCCACUCUCUCUCUCUCUUUUUUUUUAAAGGUUUUAUUUAUUUAUUUGACACACAGAGAGAGAGAGAGACACCAAGACAGGGAACACAAGCAGGAGGAGUGGGAGAGGAAGAAGCAGGCUCCCCACUGAGCAGGGAGCCCAAUACGGGACUUGAUCCCAGGACCCUGGGAUCAUGACCUGAGCUGAAGGCAGACACUUAACGACUGAGUCACCCAGAAGCCCCUGAGCUUCAUCUCUUUCUUUUCUUUUUUUUUUUUUUUUUCUUUGAGAGAGAAAGAGUGAGAGAGAGCAUGAGAGGGGAGAAGGUCAAGAGAGAAGCAGACUCCCCAAGGAGCUGGAAGCCCAACACAGGGCUCAAUCCUGGGAUUCUGGGAUCAUGACCUGAGCCAAAGGCAGAUGCUUAACCAACUGAGCCACCGAGGCGCCCGAGCUUCGUCUCUUGAACCCACCUCGUUUCUACCCUGUACUGAGGGGCAUGUCACCGCCACUGUGAGGACUCCGGACUUCCCAGUCUGGCUCCUGUCCUACCAAUGCCCCUGGCCACUCCCAAAGGUCACCAGCCCUGUCCUAGGUACUGUAGCCACCUGGGGCCUUUCUCCACACCCCUUCUGGGAAGGCCAGAAGCCCUUUGUGUCCAUCUAUCUGCUUUUGUCCCCUCCCUGGUCAGGCCAUCAGCUGUCACUCUGCCUGUCAGUGCAGGUGAUCUGGACAGUCUCACUUCCUUCUAAUAAGCAGUUUCUGUCAGAGGCUAGGAAACCAGAUAACCAAGCCUGAUACCACAGAGUCCAGAGCAAAGCCAGCAGAUUACCAGAGAGCCACUCUCCUGUGAGAGUGGCUGGGUUUUCACCGGCAGACUUGCUGUCCUCUAUUUUGCCUGCUUGAGGGCCUUCUAGGCCCACCUUCCAUUCAGCAGUGCUCUGGAAGAUGACUUCUGGGUGACCAGGGUGUCACUUUACCCUCAGAGUCUUGUCCUGGAUUAUUAGUCACCAUGUGUGGAUCCACUCCUCUUCUAUUCAGACUAGAUUCUGUUGGUUCUGUCUCUGAGUUGACUCGCAUUACUGAUGGAGAUCUUCUCAAAGCAGCUUCUUCCCUCAGUGACAAGGGCAGGCUUCUUCAUUCAGAGGGGAAACUGAGGCCCUGGUCACUCAUUCAGCUUCACACACAGCCACACACACAGUCAUCUGCUGCCCAAGGUCGGUGCAGCCUCAGGGCCAGGCCCGAGUCUUCAGGAAGCCCAACCUAUGACCCCAGGCAGCCCAGCAGUCACACCAAGCCAGCCCACCUACAGCCCCCUGGACCUGCCUCCUGGCACUUCCCCUUCCCCUUUCUCCCUCCAUCUCCCUUUCCCCAGCACACCUUGCUCUCACUUUCUCAGGCUGAUCUUCCCAGUCCCUACCCUCAUCACCACCAGAGCAAAUGCCUCUCUCCCUUGCCCACCCCUUCCUAUCUGUGGAGGUCCAUCUCUGUUGAGUCUCACCUCCUUUAUGAAGCCUUCCCUGGACCCCAAGGCCUGCCGGGCGACACAGUGCAAAGACCACCCACUCGCUGUCAGGCCCACCUGGGUCUGAAUCCCAGCUCAGCAACUUUCUUGGUGUCUGACCUGAGGGAAAGUUACUCAGCUCCUUGGAGUUUCUACUGGCUUGCCUUAUCAUGGUCUACCCACUUUAUGGGCUUGUGAGAAUUUAAAGAGAUAGUACACGUAAAGCACCUUGGCAUUAGGCCUGGCAAACUGUAGGUAGUGAUUAAAUUAUCAUCAAAAACCACAGCCCUCACUGUCUAUACCUAGACAUCACCACAUACAGUGCUUCUUUUUUAUCCUCAAUAUGGUGCUCUGCUAGACACAACAGAAGAGGCAUAGACACGACACAGGAUUAGAUUCGAAGGUCACUAAGCACAUAGUAGGCGCUCAGUAAGUAGCCACUGGAUUUGACUAACUCAUCCGAAAGGUACUGUAAGAUAUACUGGGUGGAACACAACAGGGAAAAAAGGGAUAUCCGGACAGAGUCACAACUUCAACUACUCUGCUCUCCCAUGUCGGUGGUGGUAUGGGGUGAGGGAGAGGUCCUUAGUUCUGUGACCCUGGGCCCGGCAGGGUGGUGAAGGAGAGUGGGGUUGGGGGUUGGGGGGCUGACUACACGGCUACACGGGAAGCUCUGAGGAGUGAAGGAAGUCAUUCCAGUACUCAACUAGUGGUUUGGUGUCACACCUUCAAGGUCAACACUGUGGGGAAGCCCAAUGCCUGCUACUUUUUCUGUCUCCUCACAACUAAACUAUGAGCUUCUUGAGGCAGGGGUGAUAUGUUCGUUGUUCACGGUUGUGCCCCCUGCACCCACCUAGCACUGGGCCCUGCUCAGAGACAGUGCUCGACACGUGAGUGAGCAAGCAGUUGAAAUAAGGUGAAGCCGAUGUAGACCCUGACCUCAGCAAACAUGCAGACCAGAAGAAGAGACAACAAAUGUACCCAAAGAAUUAGAAUUCGACUUAGAAUCUGCUCUGUGUUCCAAAAGGGGCGCUGAUAAUGUUCUAGGGAGAUUCUGAGGCAGAUCUCUUUUCCUGUUGGGGAACGAGGCAGAUAGCUUAGAGGCCGCUCAGGGCUGGGCCAUGAAGGAUGGAAGGAAGUCUGUCAGGAGGAGACGAGGGAGGAAGGGAAUUCCAGGGUAAAGGACUAGAAUGACAAAAGGUAAGAAACUGGGAAAGCAUGAAACUGGGUGAAGUGUAGGACACAGAGAGGUAAACAAUGCGAGACAAAGCUGGAAAGGUCAGUGGGGCCAGAUCAAGAAGGCCUGUAUGCCACAGUGGACAGGUCUGGUUUCAGCUGCCCACGAUCCAUCCUUCCAUUUCCUGCCUAGAGCACCCCAAUUUCAACCUACCCCAGCAUGUGACUUGAGUUGGGCCCACAGCGUGUCAUGACUCCAGACUACAGGGAUUAUUAGUUCAUGGAAGGCACAUGACCCAAUCAGUAUCAAGGCCAUAGAAUGAAACUCUGGGAUUAUUCUUUCCCCACAAGACCUGAAACCUGUGCUGUGCCAUUUGCCCACCACUUGUUUGAGGACCAAGCCGACAUGGAAGACGAACUGAGAGACCUAGAAAAGGCCUGGGUUCUAGAUAAGGCUGAGCCUAUAACCAGUUCUACCCCUGGAAUGUUUCAGAUGUUUGAGCCUCUGCAGUUCUUCUUGUUAAACCUGGUCAGCUGGGCUCCAUCACUUACAACAGAAAGGGUGGUGCCUGAGGACAAAAGUGAGGUAAGCAGCUUAAAGACAAAGCAGGCACAUUCUGAGCACUAGCUGUGGCUCUGGGACAGUGCAACUUUUUUUCCUCACAAAAUCCUGGGAGGUGAGUGCUGCAAAAGGGGAAUGGUGGUUUGGGAAACUGAGGCUUACAGAGGUUAAAUAACUUGCCUGCAACCAUAUGGAUAGUGACUGGCAAGGCCUGGGUUAGGACUCUAGUUAUUCUGACUCCAAGCCUGGCUCCUUCCACUCUGCCUCUUGCCUAGAAAACAGUGGGAGUCAUAGCAGGUUUCUGGAGAGUGAAGGGGCAUGAUUAAACCUGUGCUUUAGGAAUGCUCAUCUAACAGAAGGAUGCUGGGAAGCAAAGGAGGCUGGAAGCUGAAAGACCACUGGAAGUCAACGUUAUGGCCAGAGGAAAGAUGGGCGGGGGUCUGCCCUAUUCUGGUAGUGGGAAGAGAAGGUGAUGCAAGACAGAGAAUUGGUGGCUGUGGGGGAGGCUGGAAAGCGGACGGGGGUGAUAGUUGGGAAGAAGAUCUAAAGCCUCCAAGGUUUCAAGCUGUCAAGACUUCAAGAGGACAGCCUGAAGCCACUAUCCAAAACAGGAAUGUCAGAUGGAGGCUGACUUCAGGAGAUAGCUUGAAAAAGCACUGAGCCUGGCAUUCUACCUAACAUCUUAAAAGAAUACUGCUCUGACCCUAUUUGUCUCUCUAGUUCCUCUUUAAAUCAAAAUUCCUUUAAAAAGGUCUAGAAACAGUCUCCACAUAUGAACACUUAUCGUAUAGUGCUUGUAUUAUUACUAAUUUGCAAUGUUAAAAUGUCAUCAGUACAACUCCUUAUUUAGGGACGUUAGGGGGCAUGCAUUCUUUCGAGGAGGUGGUGAAAAGUGCAAGCCCAGCCUGGGCCCAGACACUCAGGCCCUUGCGGCAGGCAGUAGGCGGUCUUGGCCAGUGGGAGCCCGGGCCGCGCUUCCUGGCCCCGCCCACCAGCCGACAGACGCAGGGGCGGGGCCAGCUCCCGCACACGCGCAGUGCGCUCGGAGCUACAGGACGCACCCGCCCUGCAGCGCCUCCGGAGCCCGGCAGAGGGCGGCCGCCCCCUUCUCGCCAGCCCGGCUGCCUUAGCCGCGGGAUUUCACCUCCGUCCAGGCCACGCCCCCAAGAGGCGUCCCCCGGGAGCUCCAGACCAAGGGGGCUGCCGCGGCAAGAUGGCCUCUCGCUUUAUCCUGGAAGGGUAUAGCGAGAAGGGGCAGCGUUGAGCUCGGCGCUGCCUUUGUUUUAAUCGCCGGUCCAUCCCCCCAACCGCCCCUGCAUAUAGUGGGCACUCAAUAAAUGCUUAUUGAUGGAAUAAAAGGGAUGAAUGAACGACUAUGUGAAUAAAUAUAA